AAUUAAAUGACUCCUCCAGAUAACAACUCUCUGUGGGAGGACGAUCGAUGAUUUCGGCCACCUCCGCCACCUUCGUUCCUCUUGUGGGCGAUCGACGAUUUCGAACCAGCCUACCGUCUUCUGUGGGUGUGGGCGCACAUCUUAGAUUAACAACAACUCUUCCCACACUCGUCCCUUAGUCGAACGGCGACUCAAUCCAAUCCACCAUGUAUGGUUGAUAAGGUGCCCAAGGACUCUGCCAUAUUUGGAGAAUGUGGUAAUGGAUAAGCAUGGUGAUUGAAUAUGGCAAAGAUAAACACACAUUUGCUUUAAUAUUAGAAAUCAAGCUUACAUUGGGGUCAUUAACAAGAUUAUAACAGCACAUUGCCAUUACCUUGAUGUUGGUGCUGGAAUUGGUUUGUUCUCAUUGAUGGUUGCCAGGGCAAUGGAUUUUGGGGGCCUCAAUGCAAAAGGAGAAGGUAACAACUUGUGAGUCUUACCUUCCAAUGGUAAAGAUAAUGAGAAGAGUUGAGGCUUAAUGGUAUGGAAAAGAAGAUAAAUAUAUUCAACAAACGUUUUGAUGAACUUAAAAUUGGCAAGUGAGAUAUUUGACUCAGAAUUAUUGGAUGAAGGGCUUAUACCUUCUCUACAACAUGCCAUGGAAUGUUAUUAGUGGAAAAUCUAUCAACAAUUCCAUACCAAGCAACUACUUAUGACCAAGUGAUUGAGUCCAUCAUUGUGGUUGUACUUUGUUUCAACACUUCAUCUCU